GGAUAACACAUCCCAAGCUGAAGCCGUGGAUAACACAUCACAUCCCAGAAACGGAGCGGAUGUUGGUGGUGGUGAGGUGGGGGAUGUUCCAGAAACUCCCAAGUCUACCGGUGAACACAUCACGGGCGAGUCAUUGGGCAACAACAACCGCGGCGCGUUGGGAGGUGUCGGUAAAAUGGGGCGGCGUGUGCUGAGGGAAGGACUUCUGCGACUUCUGAAGGAUGUGAUACCUCCAUUACCAGUGUCUCAUCUGAAGAACGACCCACCGGACAGCGUAACGCAUAUCCACGGCAACAACAACAGACACGCUUCGGUGAUGGUGUGUCUUGACUCUCCGUCGGGCGCUGAAUCGCGAGAGCGGCGGCGAAGUCGUCUGCAGCAAAAAGAUCAUGAAAUGCGUCAAUCACGACUGGAAAAAAAAAUGCAGCAUAUGGCGGAAGUGUUGCGGCAGCUCCAGCAGCAGGAGACGCACCAGAGACGACAAGAUCGCGACCGGGGACAAGAACGGCGGCGAAGAAUGACAAAGAAUAAUUUGCCGAAGCAGCAAGAACACCGGGACCCAAGACUGUCUCAGAAGAGCCUCCAUAAAGUUGGGAGAAAAAAACUUCAGGUGGCCAAACGUGAGUCGGGUCUCUUCUCCUCAGCAGCGGCGUACGGUCGGGGAAAACCAAUGAAAAAAAAUCUCUCUGUGACCAAGAAACUCGUCUUUGAAGACCCACCAGCGCGGCGUGCAGCAGCUGCGGCCGCUGAAGAAAAUCUCGCGCCACAACCGGGCCCUUCCAAUGCGGCUCGUGCGGACGAAACAAAUGAAAGCUUCUCAAGCACUGACCUUCCUUCAGCUUUCAAUUCUUUGAAUUUUUCUCAUAGCA